rnacentral:tRNA from 1 species
GUGGCCAUAGCUCAGUAGGUAGAGCAUCUGGUUGUGGUCCAGAAGGUCGCGGGUUCAAGCCCCGUUGGCCACC